AAAUUGGAUGUUUACAUGUGGGUUUACAAGCUUAAUAUGCUCUUGGGUUACGCAUACACCAUACCUACCAAGACUACAACGAAGCAAAUCUACUCACUACUAAAGACUAUCAACACAUUUUCACACUGUUUACUGCCAGAAAAUAUAUAUUUUGAUUGAGGAGGUCUAAUUUUCGACAGCAGCAGCACCACGCAAGAGACCAGUUCUGCGAGCGGCAAUGAGACCAACCUUUUGACCAGGAGCGGAUUGGCGAGGAACAGUGGUAGAGUGACCAACGUGUUGAUGGUUACCACCACCGUGAGGAUGAUCGACGGGGUUCAUAGCAACACCACGAGUACGAGGCCAGCAGUUGCGCUUAACACGGUAUUUGUGGAAAGCACGACCAGCCUUGAGCAAAGGCUUGUCAAUACGUCCACCACCAGCGACAAUACCGACAACACCACGAGCAGAAGAGGGGACAACCUUUUUGGCGCCAGAGGGCAACUUAACACGGGUCUUGCCAGUGUCAACAUCAUGUCCGACAAUGAUAACGUAGUUACCAGAAGAACGACCUAAUGCACCACGGUCACCAGCCUUCUCCUCAACGUUGGAGAUGAUAGUACCCUCAGGCAUCUCACCAACAGGCAAGACAUUACCAACGGUCAAAGCAGCGUUCUUACCGCAGUAGACGAAUUGGCCAGUGUACAUACCCUCGGUAGCGACGAAGGUCUCAACAUCGGUUCUGUAGUGAUAAGGGUUACGGAAAGCAACCUUGGCCAAAGGAGCACCGCGACCAGGGUCGUGAAUGAUCUUUUGAACAACACCACGAAUGUAUCCGUGACGUUCAGCAAAGUCCAAGGUACGGAGCUGAGCGGCACCCUUACGGAGGCGGGUAUGAGCCUGGAAAAUUCCUCCACUCUUUCUUUGUGCUCUAAUAACACGACCCAUUUCUGGUGUUUUGGUUGUUGGAGAAUACGGUAUUGAGGUUGCAAAUUCAAGUGGUGAAUUGUUGUAAAAUGUGACUGUUUUCGGUCAUCCAAAAUUUUUUGACUUAAGUAUUAUGCAUUUCGUUAAUGGAAAGCCUAACGAGAAAAAAAAUUGGUGCGAAAUCAUGUGAAUAACGAGAUGCAUGUAAUUUACCGUACCUCCCUAAAUUCUUAGGAGUGCUAUACUGUUGAGAGCAGUAGAAAUGGAACAGAUUGGAUAAAUGAGAUAAAUUGUAAUAACGUGAAUAUUUAUUUAUUUACAUAAUGAAUGCAGUUGGGAAAUUAAAGAAAGUGAUGCUUUAACGCAGACACUUCUUUUGCAUCAUGAUACACGGAUUGUGGUAUAAAUAACUGAAAGAAAAAAAGAGACAUUCUACUGUU